AUUAUUACCACGACAAGGAGAAUUUUCCUGAAAUGAUUUAACGAUGGCUUCAAGCAUAACGAAACAGAUUUCUAAUAAAAAUUAAAGGAGCAUUCGCGUACUAUACAGCAUGUAUACUCCUAUCUAAUCAGACUCAGAUUUUCCGUGGGCGACGCUGAAAAAUCUAUAUCAAGUUUACAAGCUAGUCCAAUAAAGCCGUUCGAGCGAGUUCAUUAUUCACGGCUGUUCGAAGGUUUAUUUUCUUGGAACACUAUUGCUCUAGACUUGAGAUCAGCUUAUGAGGAAUUUCGGAAAGAGUCACGGGAAAAAACGCCGUUGGAUUUUUUUUUGUCAAAUUGGACAUGCUUAUAGAUAUCUUGGAAAAAGGUAAUAUCUACGUAUGCACUGAGCUUUACGUCACGAGUGACUAUAUUUGCUGAAGAGACGUGCGAAAUCUUUUAAACAGAUAUAACAACUGUGAGUUUAAUUAUGUGGCUCCUCUCUUGGAAGCAAGAAGAACCGUCAGAGGAGCAGGUGAGGAAAAGAACUCGUGACUUCAUCCGUUUGCAGCAGUAUCGUCUUCUACAUUACUUAAAGAGUGCUUGAGUAAGAUUGUCGCUCUUAUGGAAAUCCAAAGAGUUUUAUCUUACGCAAGAAGCCUAGACUCAUUAUCGCAUAGAGUAAAUAUAAGAAAAGUUUGCCAUAUGACUUUGAGACGUGAAAUUAUAUAAAUUCAAAGACUGAAAGACAUUAUCUGAGAAACCCGGUAAACUCGUGCGUCUCUUUUGAAAAGAUUAGUAUUUAUUUAAUUAACGUACAGUAAUCUUUCAGUUACUUUUUAAAAUAUAUUUUAAAGUAGGCAAACUGGGGAAUAAACAUUAAUUUUUGUAUUCAUUUAUAUACGAUUGUCGAUUAAUCAAAUUAAUCAAUUAACUUGGUAUUUAAUCAGGGGAUCCAUACGUGCGAAACAAUCGUGGACUGAAAUAGAUGAAUGUCUGAGAAACGUCAUUUCGAAUUAAGUGAUUAAUAAUUGUAAAUUAUGUAGACUGUUUACGUGAUAAGACAUUUGCGCAAAGAGUAAAGAACAAAGAAUUGGAUAAAUUGUCUGCUGUUUUCGACACGCACCCGUAGUAAACGGGCAUAUAAAUGAAGAUUUCUUUUACUUUUCUAUUU